GCGGAGCAGGACUCUAGUCAAACAAGCCAAUCCCAUGUCCUCACUGGCUCCUCCGACUCCUCCUUCUUCUGGUCUGUCUUCUUCUCUGCUGUGGCUGGGGGGGAACCAGCAGCAGGAGAUGCAGAUCCCGGGCCAGCAGAGAGAGCUACGAA